ensembl:lncRNA
GUUCAUAAUUCCUCUUUAUAACAGUUAUUUUAAAAUUUUUAUCCAUAAUUCUAACAUUUCUAUAAUCUCAGUAUUGGCAUUUCUUGGUUGUUUUUUGUCAUUCAGUUUGAGCUGGGCAGGGAUGGGAGUUCCAGCUCCCUAUUACUCCACUGAUACCUUCCUGGGAGGACUAAGAGUGCUUAGUUACUGCUCCCUAUGUGGCCUCUACUGACACCACAAUGGGUGGCCACCACAUCAUGACAGCUGGAUGAUGCUGAAAGUCCUGACUCUCCACUAGGCAUCUUCUAACACAACCCUAGCGUGAGGAAAGAAGGGCACCUUAUUACUGCUGGAUAGAGAUGUUGGAAAUAAAUUUGAGAAAAGAAUCAGAAUUUGGAAAAAAAGAAAUCUUUACAGGAGGAAAUGAAGAAAACACCUGGAUUAUCAAAUAUAUUUUUACAGAAAAUAGAUGGAAUGUUUAGAAAAAGAGAUCAGAACUACAGUUUCAACAGAAUGUAGCACAAAUACAUCAUUGAUGUAACAAUAUUUUCUACUUCUCUGUAAAACCAUAACUGAUGAAUUUCAAUAACAAAAAAUACUAGCAAGUGAAGCAACCUCAAAAAUUUGUUACAAACACAAAUCAAUGUACUUUCUGCCAAUCUAGCUACAAGGCUAUAGUUUGAACAUUAAACAAUGGGACUUUUGUUGAAAAAUAUCCCUUUCAAUUAAGAAAUUUUAAUUUUCCAGAAGGCAAUACAGAGAUGAGACAUAUUACAUUACAAUUUACAGUCCUUUCCUCUCUAGAGAGAUUAUAUACCGCCAUCCUGCUGAGGUCCAACUUGAUCAUGUGACUUGCUGUACCUCUUUCCUGUGCAAGAAUUUUACAUCUCCUCCUAAGUUCAGAUUUGGCCAUGUGACUUCCUGUGGUCCAUGAAGUGUGGUAGGAAGUGUGUGUCCUUCCUGAGUUGAAGCUUUAAUAGCUAUCUUGUCUUUCACUACCUCUCUGUUCUUCCUCAGCCAUGAGACAAUGUUUGCGAUAGAGGAUACUCCAUUUGCUGAGGUCCUCAAGUGAAGAAAACAAGGAUCAGCACUGCAGUAAACCUACAGUGAAAAUGUAGCAUAAUUAAAAUAUAAACCAUUGUGGAUGACAGCCACUGAAAUUUUAGUGCUGGUUUUUACUCCAUCGGGAUUAUACUAUUCUGACGGACAGCUAGAUGUGGGAUGCUUCUGUAACAAAUACUCUAAACAUCUUUUCAUUUGGACAAAAUAGCAGAAAAAUUUUUAAAAAAUGCUCUUCAAUAGAUGACCAUGGGCAAUAUCUCCAAUCAAAUCUGAAGAAAGAGAAACAUGGAGGUUUUGGUUUAAGAUGGUGAUGUAGGAGGAUCUUGAACUCACCUCCUUCCAUGGACACAGUGAAUCUCCAGCUACAUAUGGAGCAAUUUCCUCUGAAAGAAAUCCAAAAACCAAAUGGCAAUUCCUAUACAUUGAGUGAACAAUAAAAAAAAAACCACAUGAAAACAGUUAGGAGAAGCUGAAACACAACCUUGCCAUAAAAUCCAUCCCUGUACAGCAACCCACAAUCAGAGGGAAAUUACGACCCCGAGCUUCUACCAAGGAGUGGAGGGUUUAAACCCCACAUCUAGCAUCCCAACUUUUAAGACCUGCCCCUGAAAGAUGAGCCCCCGAAACAUAUAGCUUUGAAAGCCAAGAGGGCUUGUGUCCCUGAGAUCCACAAGGUGAACUGAGAAAUGGCUCUUGAAGGGCUCAUGUGGACUCACCCACAGGGCCCAGCACACAGGCAGCCAACUGAAAAGUUCUCAGGCUUUCUGUGAAAUGGGCCUAUAUGCUUAUCUUAAACAUUCAGCCUGAGGGGCAGACAUCAACUUAACACACAUUUGGGGGCCUACUGAAAUACUCUUCAAGGCCAGUGGGCACCAUCUUUGCACUCUCCCUCUGCCUCACUCCAAGUAGCUGGUAUCUCUCAGAAAGGAGUUUAUGCACUUGUCUGGCACCCUGAUUUUUGUAGCUGCCUCCCAGCAGACCUUUCUUGAUCACCUGGCUCUGGUGACUAGUAGGGCUUAUUUUCACAGGUCCUAUAGGACUGUAACAAAGGAGAAACAGUUCUUAACUAGCUACUUCUCCCAUGGCACAACACAGAGACAGUGGACUGAAACUCACUCCCACUCUUUCUAUGAAAGAAGCCUAUUGGCUUAUCAUCAUAGCUCUGGCCUGAGGGCAGGCUUCUAAUUAAAUGCACAUCUAAGGGUUGACUAUAAUCCUCUCCAGAAAUCAGGGUGGCUGAUGGGCACCAUCUUCACGUUCUCCCUCUGCCCUGUCCCAGGUUGUCAGUGAUUCUGAGAAAGGAGUAUGUAUACAUGUUUGGUGCACUGACUUUUGUGGGUGUCACCCAGAGGACACAUCCCUUGAUAACCUGGUUCUGGUGGCCCAUGGUACAUGUGUUCACAGGUUCAAUGGGAUGGUAGCAAACAAAUAAAUACUUCUUAGCUGGUUAUCACCCCAAGGCUCAACUCAGAGAGAGCAGACAGAAUGCCCAUGACUCAUUCUUACCUGAAAGAGGUAUAUUUGUAUACUUUAAAAGCUGCUGCCUGAGGAUCUAGCUUCUAAUCAGCCUGAAUCUAAGUGCUAGUCAAGAUCCUCUCCUUCAAGACACUGACAGGUCUUGACAUCCUCAAUUAUGAGGAGCCAUAAGAAUAAAGUAGUCUCCCUGGAUAUUCACAAAGGUUUGAAAGACAACCAAGAGCUGGGGCAGAGAUGAACAAUAAGUUUUAUCUCCUACAUAAGGCCACUCCUUCAAGACUGGGAGAGGUGUCUGUUUUAUUUCAUGUAUAGAAACCCACACAGAAAGUCAAGGAAAAUGAAGAGAAAUAGGAAAAUGUUUCAAAUGAAAGUAUAAGAUAAAACUCAGGAAAAGACUUUAAUGAAAUAAAGAUAGCAAUUUACCUGAUAAAGAGUUCAAAAUAAUGGGUAUAAAGAUACUCACUGAACUUGGGAGUAAAAUGGAUGAACAAAGUGAAAAUUUCCACAAAGAGAUAGAAAAUAUAAGAAAGUAACAGAUAGAAGACUCAGAAGUGAAGAAUACAAUACCUUAACUGAAGAAUACAGUAGAGAGGUUCAACAGUGCACCAGAUGAAGUGGAAGAAAGAAUCAGUGAACUAGAAGACAGACAAGUGGAACUGACCCAAUCAGAGCAGCAAAAAAGAAAGAAGAAUAAAAAAAAGUGAAGCUAGCUUAAGGGACUUAUGGAACAACAUCAAGCAGAACAACAUUCACAUUAUAGGAAUCCCAGGAGGAGAAAAGAGAGAAAAAAGGGAAAAAAUACUUACAUAAACAAAUAAUGGCUGAAAAUUCCCCAACCUGUGUAAGGAAAUCCAGAUCCAAGAAUCCCAGAGAGUUCCAAAUAAGAUGAAGCCAACAAGACCCACACCAAGUCACAGUCUAAUUAAAGUGUCAAAAGUUAAAGACAAGAAGAGAAUCUUAAAAGCAGCAACAGAAAAACAACUUAUGUACAAGGGAACCCUCAUAAGACUAUCAGCAGAAUCUUUAGAAAAAAAUUUGCAGUCCAGAAAGGAAUGGCAUGAUAUAUUCAAAGCACUGAAAGAAAAAGAUCUGCUAACCAAGAUACUCUAUGUGGCAAAGUUGUUCUUCAGAACUGAAGGAGAGAUAUUUUCCAGACAAGCAAAAGUUAAAGGAGCUCAUUACCCCUAGACUGGGCUUACAGGAAAUGUUAAAGAGACUUCUUUAGGCUGAAAUGAAAGGGCACUAAUUACUAACAGGAGAACAUAUGAAAGUAUAAAUCUCACCAUAUAUAUACAUAAUAAACCUUGCUUUAUUAUGCUUUACUUUAUUGUGCUUUGCAAAUAUUGCAUUUUUUAUAAGACCAUCCACCAGCAAGGAUUAUGUUCACUGAAGGUUCAGAUGAUGAUUAGUGCCUUUUCGCAAUA